GGAGGGUAGCUCAGUGACAGAGCACUGGCUUAGCAUGCAGGAGGUCCUGGGUUCAACCCCCAGUACCUCCA
rnacentral:tRNA from 1 species